CCUACGCGAGGCAGCAGUGGGGAAUAUUGCGCAAUGGGCGAAAGCCUGACGCAGCGACGCCGCGUGAGGGAUGAAGGUCUUCGGAUCGUAAACCUCUGUCAGCAGGGAAGAACGGUCACUGUGCUAAUCAGCAGUGAAUUGACGACACCGGCAAAGGAAGCACCGGCUAACUCCGUGCCAGCAGCCGCGGUAAUACGGAGGGUGCGAGUGUUAAUCGGAAUUACUGGGCGUGAAGCGCGCGUAGGCGGUAUGUCAAGUCAAGGGUGAAAUCCCCGCGCUAAUCGUGGGAAUUGCCUUUGAAACUGGCAAAGUGGAGUGUGUGAGAGGAUAGUGGAAUUCCAGGUGUAGGAGUGAAAUCCGUAGAUAUCUGGAGGAACAUCAGUGGCGAAGGCGACUAUCUGGCACAUAACUGACGCUGAGGAGCGAAAGCGUGGGUAGCAAACAGGAUUAGAUACCCCAGUAGUC
rnacentral:rRNA from 1 species